AAAGGAAUAGACGGGGACCCGCACAAGCGGUGGAGCAUGUGGUUUAAUUCGACGCAACGCGAAGAACCUUACCCGGGCUUGACAUCCGGGCGACCGGGCGGUAACGCGCCCUUCCCUUCGGGGCGCCCGAGACAGGUGGUGCAUGGUUGUCGUCAGCUCGUGUCGUGAGAUGUUGGGUUAAGUCCCGCAACGAGCGCAACCCUUGCCCCCAUUAGCCAGCAUUAGGUUGGGUACUUUGGGGGGACUGCCGGGGACAACCCGGAGGAAGGCGGGGAUGAUGUCAAAUCAUCAUGCCCCUUAUGCCCGGGGCCACACACGUGCUACAAUGGCGCCGACAGCGGGAAGCGAAGGGGCGACCCGGAGCAAACCCCCGAAAAGGCGUCCCAGUUCGGAUUGCAGGCUGCAACCCGCCUGCAUGAAGCCGGAAUCGCUAGUAAUCGCGGAUCAGCAUGCCGCGGUGAAUACGUUCCCGGGUCUUGUACACACCGCCCGU
rnacentral:rRNA from 1 species